rnacentral:rRNA from 1 species
CGUACUGAAUGUGGUAGGUGACCUGCGGAAGGAUCAUUACCUAGAGUUGUAGGCUUUGCCUGCUAUCUCUUACCCAUGUCUUUUAAGUACCUUCGUUUCCUCGGCGGGUUCGCCCGCCGAUUGGACAAUUUAAACCAUUUGCAGUUGCAAUCAGCGUCUGAAAAAACUUAAUAGUUACAACUUUCAACAACGGAUCUCUUGGUUCUGGCAUCGAUGAAGAACGCAGCGAAAUGCGAUAAGUAGUGUGAAUUGCAGAAUUCAGUGAAUCAUCGAAUCUUUGAACGCACAUUGCGCCCCUUGGUAUUCCAUGGGGCAUGCCUGUUCGAGCGUCAUUUGUACCUUCAAGCUCUGCUUGGUGUUGGGUGUUUGUCUCGCCUCUGCGUGUAGACUCGCCUCAAAACAAUUGGCAGCCGGCGUAUUGAUUUCGGAGCGCAGUACAUCUCGCGCUUUGCACUCAUAACGACGACGUCCAAAAGUACAUUUUUACACUCUUGACCUCGGAUCAGGUAGGGAUACCCGCUGAACUUAA